UCCUGGUAGCUCAGAUGGUAAAGAAUCUGCCUGCAAUGCAGAGGACCCAGGUUCAAUCCCUGAGUCAGGAA
rnacentral:tRNA from 1 species